GACAGAGGAUGCAAGCGUUAUCCGGAAUGAUUGGGCGUAAAGCGUCUGUAGGUGGCUUUUCAAGUCCGCCGUCAAAUCCCAGGGCUCAACCCUGGACAGGCGGUGGAAACUACCAAGCUGGAGUACGGUAGGGGCAGAGGGAACUUCCGGUGGAGCGGUGAAAUGCGUUGAGAUCGGAAGGAACGCCCGUGGCGAAAGCGAGUCCUGGA
rnacentral:rRNA from 1 species